AAACGCUUGAAGUCAGUCGCGUCUUGUCGGACUCAGCCUGGCCUUGGCCACGGUGUAUUUCCGGUAUGACGGGCCAGCAUCGAUUUCGACCGCCGGAGAAGGGCUGGGGAAAUGUGGCACCUCCGGGUGUGUUAUAGUCCCCUGUCGGACACGGUGGUUGGGAUCGAGGAACUCAGCGUGCCUUUUGGCCGGGUUUUUAACCACGUACGUGCUUAGGAUGCUGGCAUAAUGGCUUUAAUCGA
rnacentral:rRNA from 1 species